rnacentral:rRNA from 1 species
AACGAACGCUGGCGGCAUGCCUAACACAUGCAAGUCGAACGAGACCUUCGGGUCUAGUGGCGCACGGGUGCGUAACGCGUGGGAACCUGCCCUUAGGUUCGGAAUAACUCCCCGAAAGGGGUGCUAAUACCGGAUAAUGUCUUCGGACCAAAGAUUUAUCGCCUUUGGAUGGGCCCGCGUUGGAUUAGCUAGUUGGUAGGGUAAAAGCCUACCAAGGCGACGAUCCAUAGCUGGUCUGAGAGGAUGAUCAGCCACACUGGGACUGAGACACGGCCCAGACUCCGACGGGAGGCAGCAGUGGGGAAUAUUGGACAAUGGGCGAAAGCCUGAUCCAGCAAGGCCGCGUGAGUGAUGAAGGCCUUAGGGUUGUAAAGCUCUUUUACCCGGGAUGAUAAGGACAGUACCGGGAGAAUAAGCUCCGGCUAACUCCGU